UUCUUAUGAUGAUAACCUUGUCCAGUUCUGCUACUGAAUGAUAAGUGAAUGAUAAGUGAUGAUACUGUGGUUA